GUGAAUCAUCAAAUUUUUGAACGCAAAUUGCACUCUCUGGUAUUCCGGAGAGUAUGCCUGUUUGAGGGUCAGUUUAAAUAAAAAUCGGUGUGGUUGCUGCCUUUCGUGGUGACGCACCGGAUUUGGGUCGUCUUGCCUUCGGUUAAGUGACCUAAAAUUUUGCAUGAUUUUUUUGAACGUUAUUUAAAUAUUUUUCGUUCCUUUGCCGUUAUCAA
rnacentral:misc_RNA from 1 species